GAUGAACGCUAGCGGCAGGCCUAACACAUGCAAGUCGAGGGGCAGCAUAAAUAAAGCUUGCUUUAUUGGUGGCGACCGGCGCACGGGUGCGUAACGCGUAUGCAACCUACCCUGUACUGGGGGAUAGCCCGGAGAAAUUCGGAUUAACACCUCAUGGUAUUAUAUAAUGGCAUCAUUAAAUAAUUAAAGGUUACGGUACAGGAUGGGCAUGCGUCCUAUUAGCUAGAUGGUAAGGUAACGGCUUACCAUG
rnacentral:rRNA from 1 species